GCACCAUGUGCAGGUCCUUCUUCUUAUCCCUGAACUACUCCACCAGCCUCCUGACAAGGUGGAUAGCUUCUGUAGUGGAGCGACCCGGCAUGAAAUCGAGCUGGUUCACAGAUAUAGAUGUCAUCUCCCUCACACUCGCCUCGAUCACCCGCUCCCAGACCUUCAUGGUAUGGCUUAUUAAUUUGAUACCCCUCUAGUUGUUGGAGCACUGGAUGUCACCUUUGUUCUUGUACAAGGGCACCACUGUACUCCUCCGGCAUCUUUUUGGUCCUGAAGAUCGCAUUGAACAACCUGG
rnacentral:lncRNA from 1 species